rnacentral:tRNA from 2 species
GCCGGCUUAGCUCAGUUGGUAGAGCAACGGUUUUGUAAACCGUAGGUCCCCGGUUCAAGCCCGGGAGCCGGCU